UGACUUAGCUGGCAUCAUGAUUUUGAAGGUAGUUCUCCCAGGAUGAGGUUUAGCCAUCGCAUCCUACAUGUGCUGAUGCCUUCGAGUUCCCCAAAUUCAGGAAACUCAACAUAAUUUUGUGGUAGUUGGGGAACCGUGUUUGCUCUCUCCUCUG
rnacentral:snRNA from 14 species